CCUACGGGGGGCAGCAGUGAGGAAUAUUGGUCAAUGGGCGAGAGCCUGAACCAGCCAAGUCGCGUGAGGGAGUACUGCCCUAUGGGUUGUAAACCUCUUUUGUCGGGGAGCAAAGAGAUCACGUGUGGUCAAAAGCGAGAGUACCCGAAGAAAAAGCAUCGGCUAACUCCGUGCCAGCAGCCGCGGUAAUACGGAGGAUGCGAGCGUUAUCCGGAUUUAUUGGGUUUAAAGGGUGCGUAGGCGGGACGGUAAGUCAGCGGUAAAAAUGCGGAGCUCAACUCCGUCGAGCCGUUGAAACUGCCGUU
rnacentral:rRNA from 1 species